UUCCUCAGCUGUGAAUUGUCUGUUUAGCUCUGAACCCCAUUUUUUAAUAGGGUUAUUUGUCUCCCCGCGGUCUAACUUCUUGAGUUCUUUGUAUAUUUUGGAUAUAAGGCCUCUAUCUGUUGUAGGAUUGGUAAAGAUCUUUUCCCAAUCUGUUGGGUGCCGUUUUGUCCUAACCACAGUGUCCUUUGCCUUACAGAAGCUUUGCAGUUUUAUGAGAUCCCAUUUGGCAGGGAAUAGAGAGGCAAAGAUUAAAACAGAGACAGAAGGAACACCCAUUCAGAGCCUGCCCCACAUGUGGCCCACACAUAUACAGCCAUCCAAUUAGACAAGAUAGAUGAAGCAAAGAAGUGCAGGCCGACAGGAGCCGGAUGUAGAUCGCUCCUGAGAGACACAGCCAGAAUACAGCAAAUACAGAGGCCUUCUUGUUUUCAGUGUUCAGAUAGCAACAGAUUAAAUCUAAGUUCCCAAUGCUGGAAACUCUUAGACCACCACAGAACACAGCAACCAAGGACAAAAAUAAAGAGUCAAAAGGAAAAUCUUUCAUCAAUUCAGCCAGCUCAUUGCUAUGAUUCCUCUCUGCAGACAACAUGGAGUAGCCUUACUUCUCAUCUCCUUAUAUUUUGGGGACUGUGGCAUCUGCACCUAACACAGCAUUCGCUUUCAGCAGCUUUCGGAUGGCUGAUUUCAGACACGUCAGGAACUGUUCCUGCAGAAACACUCCCGAUUAGACAGUAGUAGGAAAAGAUAGAACAGCUUCGUGUGG
rnacentral:lncRNA from 1 species